rnacentral:tRNA from 2 species
GCUUUCGUAGCUCAGUUGGAUAGAGCGUUCGCCUCCUAAGCGAAAGGUCGCGCGUUCGAAUCGCGCCGAGAGCA